rnacentral:rRNA from 1 species
GAUCAUGGCUCAGAACGAACGCUGGCGGCGCGUUUAAGCAUGCAAGUCGAGCGGCAAGGGCCUUCGGGCCCCUAGAGCGGCGGACGGGUGAGUAACACGUGGACAAUCUGCCCCCCGGCCCGGGAUAGCCCAGGGAAACCUGGAUUAAUACCGGAUGAGACGGGACCCGCGAUGGCGGGACCCGGGAAAGGCGCUGCGGCGCCGCCGGGGGAUGAGUCUGCGUCCCAUUAGCUAGACGGCGGGGUAACGGCCCACCGUGGCGACGAUGGGUAGCCGGCCUGAGAGGGUGGACGGCCACAUUGGAACUGAGACACGGUCCAGACUCCUACGGGAGGCAGCAGCUAAGAAUCUUCCGCAAUGGGCGAAAGCCUGACGGAGCCGACGCCGCGUGAACGAAGAAGGCCGUGAGGUUGUAAAGUUCUUUUCGGGAGGGGGAACAACCGUGGCAGGGAAUGGCCGCGGGAUGACGUGAAUCCCGGAAUAAGCCCCGGCUAACUACGUGCCAGCCGCUGC